UAGGACAUCGUCCAGGUUGUUGGUUGUC
rnacentral:piRNA from 1 species